GUAAGGACCUUGUUAAAACGCAGUUUCUGACUCAGUAGUGUGAAUGGGGCCAGAAUGCUGCAUUUCUAACACUCUCCCAGAUGGUGCCAAUGUUCCUCAUCCACAGACCACAGCUGAAGUAGCAACUAUGUAAACCUCAGGCUACUCAUCACAGUGCAGAGUGAUUUCACCUAAAGGCACAACAGCAGCUGAUUGCCACAAUACAAACAAGAGCCGCCACUUACUGACAGCAGCUACGUGCCAGGUAAGUCAAAUGAGGAAGAACACCUUCAGUGUGGGGGAGAAAUGGGUCUUCAACGUCAUCUUAGACCAGUGGCUCUCAAAGUAUAUAACAGCAGCGUCAACAUCAGCAUUAUCUGGGAACGUGUUGGAGAUGUGAAUUCUUGGGUUCCACUUCAGACAACGAAUCAGAAAUUCUGGGAUUUGGGUGACAUGCCCUCCCACAGACCUAUUCUUGACAAGUGGGAAUUGCCUGAUGUGACUGGUGUGGAUUAAAUGUGUAGAAGUAGUAUAAACAAAGAAUAAUGACCUCCAGCUGCAUCCAUGUUGCUGCAAAGGACAUGAUUUCAUUCUUUUUUAUGGCUGCAUAGUACUCUAUG
rnacentral:lncRNA from 10 species